UACGAAGGGGCUAGCGUUGCUCGGAAUCACUGGGCGUAAAGGGUGCGUAGGCGGGUCUUUAAGUCAGGGGUGAAAUCCUGGAGCUCAACUCCAGAACUGCCUUGAUACUGAAGAUCUUGAGUUCGGGAGAGGUGAGUGGAACUGCGAGUGUAGAGGUGAAAUUCGUAGAUAUUCGGAAGAACACCAGUGGCGAAGGCGACUCACUGGACACAUAUUGACGCUGACGGUGCGAAAGCGUGGGGAGCAAACAGG
rnacentral:rRNA from 1 species